AAAUGCAUAGAUCGGAAUUCAAUUCGAAAAAGCAGCCCCUUAUACCACUGUGACACCUGCAGGAUGGGUGUGGCACUGGCAGUGAAAGAGAGGUGCAGUCCUAACUAGGAGCGACAGGGGUCUCUCUCCAGCACAUUUCUCUUGAUUCGACCAGCUGGCCGCAAGCUAAACGAGUCCAGCGAACAGUUUCGUAGGAGAAUGUCACUGUGUUAGGUUGUCUGAAAAUUCUUGGCCGUUAUAUACUUUAUGUAUGAUUUGGUGAGUUCAAGUUUCUUUUUAUCUUCAGUAGCGUGAGUGUUGAGUCCUUGUAACCGAGCGCACAGCUGUCAUUCAGGAGCCGAGCCCGCCCCCAGAGUGACCUUCCUCAGCGGACACGCCCCGUCCACCUGUUCCACAGGUGCGCCCGGCAAGAUGGCAGCGGGGAGAGUUUCUGUGGCGUGAGGACGCCGAAAUGAGUGUCCUGUCCGUUUGGGCGUGCUCUCGAAGUUUUAAAAGUCUGCAUUCAGCGUUCUUAUACUACCUUUCAUGUGAUAAAAGGAUUUCAGGACCGGGGCUUCAGUUAUGAAAAAUUGUUUUUUCCAAGUUCUGCGGCUCCUGGUUCUCUGCGCUCCGGCGAUCUCCUUUCCAGCUCCACUCCAGCAACUCGACGAGCGUUGGCCAAGUUCUUCUCGACAAUGUGUGCUUUUUGUUACAUUUGAUUUCUGUUACCAGUGGCUUGAUCUGUAAUGUCCUGAUUCAGUGCUGUAUUUUAUUCUUGACCUGCAUGUUUUCUGUUGACUGCUGCUA